GAUGAACGCUAGCGGCAGGCUUAACACAUGCAAGUCGAGGGGUAGAAGGAGCUUGCUCCUUUGAGACCGGCGCACGGGUGCGUAACGCGUAUGCAAUCUACCUUUUGCAGAGGGAUAGCCCAGAGAAAUUUGGAUUAAUACCUCAUAGUAUGUGAGGAUGGCAUCAUUUUCACAUUAAAGUCACAACGGCAAAAGAUGAGCAUGCGUCCCAUUAGCUAGUUGGUAAGGUAACGGCUUACCAAGGCUACGAUGGGGUAGGGGUCCUGAGAGGGAGAUCCCCCCACACUGGUACUGAGACACGGACCAGACUCCUACGGGAGGCAGCAGUGAGGAAUAUUGGACAAU
rnacentral:rRNA from 1 species